AUACAACAGAAAAGACACCAAAACAUACAGAAAACAAAAUGUGGUUGGAGAAAAAUUUCAAAAUCUCUCUCUCUCUCAAAAAAAAAAAAAGCCUGAGGUGUCUUCAGGCUUUAUCAAGUUGACUGUCAGAUGGACACAGGUGCGCAUCGUCAAGCAAUCAAGCCCCAAUCAGCUCCACCUACAGGAUUAAGAUGCGCGCAGACUCCACAGACCAAGGGAAUGGAACAGUCAUCGUUUUCAGUAUAAAUUGUUAUCUGGCAGAUGGCCUUUUGUUCCGUUUCGAGAGCACUUUUUUUUAGUUACACGAAGAUAAGCACAGGUGAGCUAGUGUCCCAUAAGACUCACUCCCCUUGGCUUUUCCCCAUUCAGUAAGCAGGUAAGAAGGUCAGGCCUGCAGGUGAGUGAAGGGGCUGCUGGGCGUGCUCCGUCCAGCCGGGGCAAAUGUUUUAGCCACUUUUCAUUCUUUUUCUUGUCAUGUAAAUUCAGUUUUCUUACUGUUUAUUAAAAUACUGGAUUUCGGACUUUGUAUGUUGCUUCUCUUUGUGUUUGGUUCGAGCGUUUAUUAUAAACGAGCCGGACCAAGCGAGACGUAACACUGCAUUUGCUUAAACUGGAAGGUUUCUUAAUUUCACUUUAAUUCAGUGAGGCCUUGGAACGAAAACCAGGACGUUUGAUGAGAACUGAACUGCAGGAACUAUUAAGGAUGAGCCCUUUCCUGAACCUGGUUUUACUUCGGACUUAGAUGGUCUAACGGGACCUGCGCUCAAAAGUAAGAGUGUCAAAAAUCCAGAACUGUACAUACUGAACAGUAAGGCACUGUACAGAUGUUGUGUAAAGGCUUCAAACAGUUAAUUAAAUUGAAGUGACACUGAGAGGAAAACCUAUAUCCAGAUAGUGCUGUUAAAUCAGUGUGGUAUGGAAGCAUAAUCCCUACAUUAAAUUAACAGAGAAAAUGCAAACUGGGCUGUUGCAUUUGAAUUUGAAUGAUGUCUUGAUUUUUGUGCACAUCAAAUGAAAAUGAAAUGCAAUUUCCGAUUUACAUUUUAAUUUGAAAUAUGACUGGCUUAUGGUUCCUUAGUGUUUUUUUUAUAAAGCCCCUC